rnacentral:lncRNA from 1 species
GAGUAAAGGGUUUGAACCCCACAUUGGGCACCCCAAUCUUUAAGACCCGUCCCUGAGAGAUGAGCCCCCAAAACAUCUGGCUUUGAACACCAAGGAGGCUCACAUCCAUGAGACCCAAAGGUCCAGAGCGAACUGAGAAGGCGCUCUCACAGGGACCCAUUUCUGACUUCUUCUCACCUAAGCCUCCGAGGGCCACUGUUUUGUAGCUUCCUCCCUCUCCCUCUUGGCACCUUCCUCACUCCAAGUCUCUUGCCCCAGCCUUGGGGCCGGGCUGGGGUGGGGGCCAGAGCCUGCCUGUGGAAAAAUCAAGGUUCUCAUUCCUCUGUACCCAGAGCAAAUUAUCCCCCUUUGUUCUAACCUCUCUGUUCUGGAUGCUGCCCUGCUCUGAUCCUUCUUCAUGAAAAUGGGGAUGUGUUUUCCUGCACAAAAGCACCAUCUACCCUCGGUCUCCAUCCUUAGUGACCUAUAUGUGAUCUUGGUUAAUCCUUAUGACAGCCUUGUGAGCUGAGGACUAUGACUGCCCAUUUCAUAGCAGAGUAGAAAAUGGCCUAAAGAUGGAGUUCCUGUCUUGGCGCAGUGGUUAACGAAUCCGACUAGGAACCAUGAGGUUGUGGGUUCGAUCCCUGGCCUCGCUCAGUGGGUUAAGGACCUGGCAUUGCCGUGAGCUGUGGUGUAGGACGCAGAUGCGGCUCGGAUCCUGUGUUGCUGUGGCUGUGGUGUAGGCCUGUGGCUACAGCUCCGAUUGGACUCCUAGCCUGGGAACCUCCAAUGCUGGGGAUGCAGCCCUAAAAAGACAAAAAAAAAAAAAAUUAAAAAUAGAACUACCAUAGGAUCCAGCAAUUCCACUUCUGGGUAUUGAUGCAAGAGAAUUGAAAGCAGAGCAGAGAGAUUUUUUUUUCACACCCGUGUUCAUAGCAGCAUUAUUCACGGUGGCCAAGAGGUGGAUGCAACCCAAGUGCCCAUCAACGGAUAAAAGGAUAAACAAAAUGUGGUCUGUCCAUACACAGGAAUAUUAUUCAGCCUUAGGAAGAAAUUCUGACACGUGCCACAACACGGCUGAACCCUGAGGACAUUAUGCUAAGUAAAAGAAGUCAGUCACAAAAAAGUAAAUAUUGCAUGAUUACUCUUAUGCAAGAUCCCUAGAAUCAUCAACUUCCUAGAGACAGAAAGCAGAAGGCUGACUGCCAGGGGCUGGGGGAGGAGGGGAAGAGGAGUUCUCGUUCAAUGAGUCCGGUUUCAGUUUUGCAAGAUGAAAAAAAUUCUGGAGAUCUCUUGCACCACAGUGUGAAUAUAUUUAACACUACUGCAUUGCACACUUAAAAAUACUUGGUUAAUUUUAUAAGAUAUGGUUUUUACUACCAUUACAACCUUUGAACAAUUUUUAAGAAAUUUAAAACACCGUUGCGUCUCAGAUGCUCAACGUUUAACCCACUCUCGGCCCUCGCGCGAUUUGUUUGAAAUCUCCUUUGCAGAACACAAGUCCUGGACCAGCAGAUGUGAAGCUACCAGGAAAUUGCUCACACUUGCCCAGGCCAUCAUCUCCAAGCAAGCUGUUUCUUUACACCUGCUCUGCCAAACUGUGCCGAGUUCAAAGACUCUUCACCCUCUGGGGGUGUCAGGAUCCUCUUUAGAAUCUGAUAGAAGCUGCCACCCUCUCCCCACCUCCACAAUAUGCAUUGACAAAUCAUUUUCCUCAUGAUUCAGAGGAUUCCUAGAUACCUUGGGACGUUUUCAUGGUUUUCCGAGGAACCCAGAAUGAGAUUCCCCCAUGCCCCUCCCAUCACAGAGUUUCCCCCUGAUUGGCUCAAAGAUUUUAUUGUUUGUCAUCUGUCUCCCCUGAUUGGCUCAAAGAUUUCAUUGUUUAUCACUUGCCUUCCCUCUUGGUGAAAUCAAGGAAAGGGAGAGCUUCUUAUGAAAAGGUCGCAUAUGGCAUGUCAUACUACCAGAAUGGUGUUAUCUGUGUGACAAGCUACUGUUAAAUACGUAUACAGAGUGAUGGGUGUGUGUGUGUGUGCGCGCACGCGCGCGUGCACCUACCAUAGGGGCAGUAAAUUAGCAUUUGGAAGAAGCUAAUCAGGAACCCACACUCUGGAAGUGGCUACUGAAGAACCUCAAAUACCCAGAUCUAAAUCUACACCUGGGAGUUCUCGUUGUGGCACAGCGAGUUAAGGACCCAGCAUUUUCUCUGUGAGGAUGCAGGUUCCACCCAUGGCCUUGCUCAAUGGAUUAAGGAUACGGUGUUGCCACACGCUGUGGCGUGGGUCCCAGCUGCAGCUCGGAUCUGGUGUUGCUGUGGCUGUGGUGUAGGCCUCAGCUGCAGCUCCGAUUUGACCCUUAGCCUAGGAACUUCCAUAUGCCACAGGUGUGGCUGUAAAAUGAAAAAACUAAAAACAAAUCUACAUCUUGAUUAGCAUAGGUAUCUUAGAAAUACUAAGGUAUGUGGUUUGAGAACAAGGACCUGCUGUAUAACACAGGGAACUACAUUCAAUAUCUUGUAAUAAACCAUCAUGGAAAAGAAUCUGCAAAAGAAUAUAUGUAUCUGGAUCACUUUGCCGUACACUUGAAGCUAAUACAAUGUUGUACAUCAAUUAUACUUCAAUUUAAAAAGAAAAAGAUCACAAGCUCUUGGCGCCCUCCGCUCAACACUCUAACCUGGAGUUCCGUUUGGCCUCCGACCAUUUCCCCAUCUUCAGGGGUCCGUGGUGUCUGAUCCCUCCAGAAGCUUGGCUGACCCCGCCGAGAGAGUGGCCCUGCAUCUCCGUCAGAAUGAAGCCUGCAUGCAGAGGACCUGUCAGAGUGCCCGCAGACAGAACGGGCCCUUAGCAAGCCUGCGGGAACAGGGUACUGUCCUUGUCCCUGCUUCCUAAUAAAUGAUCAUCCAGCUGGUCAGAUUCCACCUGAGGUUUGCGUUCGCUCCAACAUACCACCUGGCAGUGGGUAGUGAGGAAGGACAGGUAGAGCCCUAACCGUUUUCCCUGGCACACUUCCCGGGUAGCAGGAUCAGCUCAGGGAUGCCCACCAGCUGUCCAAGUCGGAUGAGAUGUAUUCAGGCAUUAACUCGUGUCGUCCGGACUCAGUUGCCCCCUCUCUCUCCUCCUGGCCCUGGCUUCAUUCUUAGGCAAGAUGGUGGCAGCAUCUCCUUAUAUUUACUCGGCUUCUGGUUUGGCAUGGAAAGCAAAGAGGCUAUUUUCCUAAGAACUCUUAAAAAAGUCCCCAAAAGUGAGUCUGAUGGCCAUUUUGACCUGACUGGCAUCAGGUGACCAUCUCUGAUCCAAUCACUGAUGCUGGGGGGGGAAAAAAAUGUUCUGACAGGUCCGGCAUGCGUCACACGCCACUCUGGGCAGGGGUGUCAGCUCCACCAGCACCCCAUGGCUUGAGAGUAGUUGGGGUGAGUGGUGGGUGAAAGUUGCCCACAACUUCUUUGCCACUCCUCCCGCUGAGAGGCAGAGUUUUUCCCCUCCCCUUGAACCGAGGCCAGCCUUAUGCCUUGUUUUGGCCCCCAAACAUGGUAGAUGUGACACCAUGUAAAGUCAAUGUCCACGUUCAAGGUCAGCGUGGGAGAGCAUUACCAAAGGGCGGGGAAGAAUAUGGGGCUAAUUUUGCAAUCCAUCCAUCACAGACGGAGAUCGCCGCCCAGCCUAGGGGAGGAGCGUCUCCUGGCCCCAUCUUCUCGGGGCCACACAUCCGAGCGAGCUGUGAGCUUAUGGAGAACAAGGCUGUGUCAUCGGCCUUAGGUGCCCAGCCACAGAUCUGAGAACCAGGCAGGAGCAAAGAAGAGUGUGGCUGCCAUGUGGAGAAGCUCAUGCAGGGGAGAAUCUUGGCCAAUACGCUCCGCCGGUCUCCCAGCCAGCACCCAGCACUACUGCCAGCUGCGUGGGUGAGCCGUCUAGGACAGUCCAGACGGCUGGGCCUCCAGACACUACAAGGAGCAGAAGAACCGCCCGGCGGAGCCUAGUCAGCACCCAGAACCGUGAGAAAUAACGGUCCUUGUUUGAAGUCAUGGAGUUUGGGGAGAGUUCGUUACAGAGCCACGGGGAGCUGACACAGAGAGUCUCCCCAGGUGAAAACCCGAAGGUUUUCCUGGAAAUUAAAUGAGUGGAUGCUAGACGGACAAUGCAGAGGAACCCACCACAGCCAUCUACUCUGUGUAGUCGACUUUGCCAGGCCACCGAUGGGCUCGAGAAGACGUGGAAUUUUCUGUGGCAGCAUUCCAGUGUCCACUCACAUUUUGUCCGUGUCCAGAGACAGUUGCUGCCGCAGCCGAGGCAGCAUCCUGAUUUCAAGCUCACAGCUCCAGCCAUGAGUUUUUAGACACAGCUGCUCUAUUGGUGGCUCCUGGCCUUCCCACAUGUGGCAAAGAAGGUGGCUCCCCAGCAAGUCAGGAUUGCAGGAUUCUGGGCGUCAUUCCUGGAGAUCCAGCCUAGAGUUUCCACAACGGCCCUCCUGUAAUGGGUUGGAUGGUAGCCUCCCAAAAGCUAUGUCCAUGUCCCAUUGCCUGGAACCUGUACGUGGGACCUUAUUUGGCAAAAAGAGGUUUUACAGAUGGAAUUAGGUUAAGGAUCUGGAGAUGAGAUUAUCCUGGAUGACCUUGGUAGGCCCUAAAUCCAAUGAUAGAUGCCCUUAGACAGAUGAGGAGAAAACAGAGAUCGGAGGACCAGGGCAAGACAGAGGCAGGGACAGGAGCAAUGCAGCGACAAAGCAUGCUGACAGCCGCCGGAAGCUGGAAGAGGUAGAGGAUUCUCCUGAGGGAGCGUGGCCCGACCUUGACUUCAGACUUCUGGCUUCCAGAACAGUGAGAGGAUUCACUCCUGUUGUGGUAAGCCAGCCAGUUCGUGGUCAUUUUGUUACAGUGGCUUCAGGGAACAACUGCCCCUUCCAGUGAUUCUGUAAGCACCAGCUUCCCUGUAUUAAAUCCCUUUCUGCUUAAAAUACCUGGAGCAGUCUCCAUUCCUUGCACUGGACCCUGAGUGGUACGAUGCGUUUCCCAUCCUGGCCAGGAAGACCAAGGAAGCCGGAAGGCAUAUUGGUGAGUAGAACCCAAGGACGUUUUUAGGUUUGAAGCUCAUAAAACGGUACCAUCCGUGGUUCCGCCGUCAGCCUCACAGGCAGGUGGGUUUCCACCAGUUCGGCAGAAGCACUGACGCCUGAUAGUCAUCUUCUGAUUGCCAGCAUGGCAGCAAGAGUUUGCUUUAAAUUUUUCAGCAGCCAGCACCCUCAGCUCACCUCUGCCAAGAGCCCACGACCUCGGCAGUCAGGGAACACAGAGCCAGAUGGGGCCCAGCAGUGCCCGCCUCUCUGUCCUUUAUCCUACAGAGUCCAAAAAGAGCUGGAAGGCACCAGAAUAGGAUGGAGAACCUUUAUCCCAAUGCCGGGAAGAGGUUCUGUCCACACUGUCUUCCUAAGGAGCAGGAAAUCUGCUUGCUCUGCUUUUUUCCUCCAAACUGAAAUUCUCCAUUUUCAUCAAGAUGUGUGUACGUGUCUGAAUCNGUCUGAAUCUGUUUCUGCAUGUGUGUGUGUGUGUGUGUGUGUGUGUGCAUUUCUGUGAGUUUGUGUUUGGGUGUAUGUGUAUUUUGAGUGUGUGUGUGUUUGUACGUAUUUAUGUGUGCGCGCCUAUUUAUAUGCGUGGGGAGAGGGCGAGUCGGGAGAAGGGCAGUGCCUGUGGUGACGGUUAAUACCGUGAACUUGAGCUAUUGUUUUCAUAAAUAGGACGCUGGAGAAGGUCCCUCGCUGCUCCUCGCCACCGCGCUGUUGAAAUGACAUGGCUAUGGAGGAAUCCUUUCGUUCUGCAAGCGUAACCACAGGAAUCAGGAUGAGCGAAUUCCGCUCCCUGGAAACCCCGGGUGGCAUCUGCUUUGUCCGUAGAGCUCCUAAGCCAGAGUUCCAUAGCCUUUCAUAGCCUUCGUGUUGGGGAUCGAAAUAAAGCCCACGGAAUUCUCUGCUGGGAAAGGUGACGUCGCCAAAAUGCUGCUCAAUCCCAUUCCCUGUGGUGCCGUGUGGAUGGGUAUUAAGCAUGCAUGUUGCACCUGGAGCCGUUCUGGCCACCAGCUUGACCCUUCUGUCUGUCAGUCCUGUCCAAGACCUCAGAAAGCUCUUGAUCUGAUGUGGUGCAGUCAACACUGGCCAGGGCAGGAGUUUCUGUUGUGGCUCAGUGGGCUAGGAACCUGACUAGUAUCCACAAGGAUGUGGGAUUGAUCCCUGGCCUUGCUCAGUGGGUUAAGGAUCCAACAUUGCCAUGAGCCGUGGGAUAGGCCACAGAUGCAGCUUGGAUCUUGUGUUGCUGUGGCUGUGGUGUAGGCCAGUGGCUACAACUCCGAUUCGACCCUUAGCCUGGGAACUUUCAUGUGCUGCUGAUGCAGCCCUAAAAAGCAAA